rnacentral:misc_RNA from 1 species
GAAUACCGAAAAAAUGAAUCAAAAAUCAGAAAUAUUUCUUGGCCGCCCACGUCAUGAAGUGGGCUGGCAAUUUGUUAUUUGGCAUCGCUCCUGACCUUGCCAUGUCCAUGAACGUUUGGGGAAGACCCAGCGAAUGUCCGUCGACCUCGUCUCCACCAUUAAAUUUGCAGCAGCAACAGGUUUAUCCAUUCGGUUUACAGAGUGAUUUGGGAAAUUUCGGAGUACGACCUCCAAAGGUGUACCCGGAUUCGGAAUAUGUUUACGGUCGAAGUCGGAGGUCGUCGCGACAUCGAAGCCACUCGCCCACUGGUAUCAGGGGUGAAGAGGUGCUUCCUUGUAGCACCUCUUAUAACUCUCUUACGUCACCCGGAGCAAUGCCUUCGGGUGGUAGCCUGACGUCUAGCAUUAACGAUCUGUCUUUCGAGGCAGAACAGUUGGAAAGAGCCAUUAGACACAACGAUCCGGCGUUCGUUCGAAGAAUGCUGGAAAUACACCACGGGAGGUUUCCCGUCAAUUUACACGGUAGUUUGUUAGAUAAAUCCAGUUGUGGAUCUCACAGUCAUUGCGUCAGUCAGGAUGUGGAGAUCCUGUUAAGGAAGAGUCAAACGCUUUUGGAUCGACUGGACAGGAGAGAAAGCAUGUCCACCGAUCAGGAAUCACCACCGAUUUUUUCUAACGCUCUACACCUGGCCAUCGAACACAACUCGGUGGACGUGGCUAGGAUAUUAUUAAAAUACGGUGUAGAUCCCAACGAAGGCGGAGUGCCCAUAGAAACCGGCGAUCCUUGGAGAAGAGAGAGUUAUUCUGCCACAUCGGAAGAUAGUUGCCCCGAAAGGUGUCGACGACCGAGCCAUCUUUUAAGUCCGGGCACUGCUAAAUUUCUAGUCGCUUCUAGUCCUAGUAAUAAUAGUGAUCUUAGUAACGAUAGUUGUUCUCCGAUAGCCGUAACUCCUCCCAGACAUUACAUCACCAUUAAUACGGACUUGCAACCAUCUCUAAAAACUAUUUAUACCGGUAUGGACGGUCGACAAGUGAGUUACGACGAAGAGUAUAUUAGAGAUACAUUAUAUUUACUUCCUCCUAUAUAUCUAGCCGUGGCUCUCGGUAACGAUAUUAUGGUACAUUUGUUACUAAAAUAUGGAGCAAUACCUAAUGUCCAAGAUCAACACGGAGUUACGCCUUUGCACUUAGCCGCUUGUCAGUCGAGGAUCCCUUGGCAAUGCGUGCGUCAUAUAUUAGAAAGCGGUGGACGUCUUGCAAUUUGUAAUCGUCAAGGAGUUACGGCCUGUGAUAUGGUCGACCAAGAUUUAAAAAAAUAUCAGAUUUCUCUCAUUGACGAUGCGCUCUCUUGGCUCGUUCCUCCUCAGAGUGCUCCUCCUUCUGUGGUUGCACCUUCCACGCCGGCUCCACAAAUGGUGGCGGCCGAAGACGGAUUUCUUUUUGGUUCUAAUUUUCGUAGCAACAUAUUGAAAAGAUUCCAAGCCGUACCACCGGAUCAAAAGCUACAGCAGCGUCAAACACCCUCUAGGAAGAGAGACUUUCUUUCGGUCGACGAUAUGAAUCGAGUCUCGCCCGAAGGCAUUUCGUGUUCGUCACACGCCGAGUCUCUUCACAGUCGCCAUAGCAACAAGAGCAUUCAAAGCGGGGACGAAGACAAGAUGGGAGCUGCCGAAACUCCUUCCUUAGAUCAAAGUAUCCAGUCAGUUAAAACAGUGAGGAAAGUAGUAGAAGAGGGAAAAAUUCGCAAUCGCCUUCCUUCCAACGAAAAUGAUAAAAAUUACGCCGAGAAAAUCGAAAGCAGUUUACAAGUACUGACAAAAAUGGCGUCAAAUCCAGAGUGUUUGACGUCCAUUUUGAUUGGAAUGCAAAAUCAUUUGACAAAUAUGAUCGAAUUGACCAAUCAGGUUGACGGAGAGAAAUUCCAUCGACCGGUAGCAUCUCUACUUAAUAAAUUAUUACUGACAAUAAUAGAAGAACACGCGCAAGAUCAUUUAUCUAAUAAAAAGAAAGAAUACUUAAGUCUUCAAUUAUGCCAAUUAGUUAGAGUUUCGAUCGGUUAUCUUCGAGGAGGCCAAGCGCUUCAAUAUACGGCAUUACUGAUCCUUAAUAAAGUCAUCGACGUUUGCGUAUCUUACGGAGUGGCCAGAUGUAAAGUAAAAACCGGAACUAGUAUUAAAAUCCACCACUCUCCCCAUUUUCGCCAUUCGUCGAGUUUCAAAGAAAAUCACCGAAUACAAUCCUCGACUCCUACUUGUUCUUCUCACGUAUUGCCUUGGAAAUUUACGCGUGCGAGAAGUUCCGAUGCCAAAUGGUGGAGUCACGGAUGGAAAAUUGGUACUAAAGAACAGGGUUCUACCACCGAAACAAAUAUACCCGUAUCCGAACACGAAGAAGAGAUAGAAGUUAGCGAAUCCGUUUUAGACAUUAUGACCGAUCAAGGAAUCGAUCUAAUGCUCAACAUUCUCAAUAAUGCCAUUACUCUCCACAAAAGAGUCGUGGGUACGAGACAACAUUGUACUCCCAGUCAUAGGUGGCGUCAUUGCAGCUACCAUUGUCUUCAAGUUUUGAGUGCUCGAUCCUUACUCUAUAUCAGUCAGUCGGAAGAUGGCCAAAAGAAAUUAAUGCAAGACGGCCAUUUAAGGAUAUUAGUUGCUGCCUUAGAUUCAACCCACGAUCCACAAUUACUUUGCCUUAUACUUCAAACCGUGGCUACCUUGGCCUUAGAUCCAUCUUAUCAUCCUACGUUGUUGGAAUCAGAUUUGACCGAUAAUCUCACUCAAUUGGUGCUGCCUUCUGACGAGUGGUACUACACAAACCACAGUACCAAAUAUGCCCGGUAUGUGAAGCACCACGCCGCCAGAAUUCUAGUGUAUAUGGGAUUGGAACAGAGAUUAAGACAGAAGGUUUAUCUGUUUGAUUUGCUCGAGGAGGCGGUUCCUCCCCCGACUCCUUUGAUGGACUCCAACGAGGACACUUACAUUAUGGAGACGUCGUUAGCACCAUCUAUUAUCGCCAAUAGCAACAACCAAAUAGCCGCCGCUUCUCUGGAAGCCAUUAUCUUGGAAUUGUUAAAAGACGUCGAGAAGAGAAUGAAAAAAGACGACACUUGGGAAGACGAAGAUAUUAUAAGUAGACACCAUAGAGAUCACGAUUCGAGUAGAGCACGGUCUGUGCCAAGAGGAAGUACUAUUUAUUUUCUCUCGGGAUUACCCUUAGUCAUUCACCCUUUAGUAGUGAUCAGACUACUGAUGCAUCGAUUGCUCGGAUGUCCAAUUCAGAAUCGCGUAAUCAGAACCACUUCCAAGUCGAGUAUGUUGUCGGUAGAAAACAGAAGUAAUUCCAGUUUAAUCGAGAAUGAGGAAUCGCUUAGAGGAAGACGUAAAGUUAAUUUGAGCAUAAAUUGUAUUGUUUCUCAACAAUCCAAAACCGAUCAUAACAAGGUGGUAAUUCAAACUCCGGAAGCUCAGACAAUACCUACCUUUACGGAGAACGACGGUCAAACCACUCCACCCAUUUCUCCCUUAUCUUACGUUAAAAGAAGUUUCAGGUUUUCUAGUCUAAAACGAAAAAAAUUUAAACAGCAAUUUGCCGAAAAUAUUUCUUCUCCCUCCGAGAACGAAGAGACAAUUCUAGCUUUUCAACGUGAAAUUCAAAAUCUUCCACAAUUUGACGUUCAGCCUAAUCCUAGACCUUCGGAUAUCGUCGCAUCCGUAGCACGUCCACGAUCCUGUUCCGUGCCUCGAGUGACUUUUCAUAAUUCUCUCCAACUUCCCGGUUCUCACGCUCAUGGCCCUUUAAUCCGUAGUGCUACAACCGAAGGCACUUACACUUCCACAAAUAAAACUCCUUCCAUAGUCCCAUCAGUUAAUGCCAAUCAAAAUGCAAGUAAUCUAACAUCAGUCAAGCCGAACGAUACUCUGCAAAAUCACCGCGUGGUUCUUAGAUUACUUUACGAAUGGGUGACGUUUUGUCAUCAGGAUUUCACGCAAAAUCCACUGGUGUGUCACGAAUUACGAGAGUUUCUCCAACGUCUUAAUACAAUGGGAAAUCCGUACGGCUCCUUUGCCGAAGAAUUGAGAUUAGAAUUGGAUAUACACGAAGAAGAAGGGAAUACGGAAAAAAGAAACGAUGUGGACGAUAUCGACGACGAGUAUAGAAAGUUACAACAGUUUGUAGUGAAUGGUGACUUACCUUGUUCUAAAGAAGAAGCAGCAGUUUUAGCAGGAAUUCAACUUAGAAUUGAAGAAACAUGGCCAACUAGCAGGAAAACAUCAAAUAGAUUGUCAAGUGAUCAGAGCAUGAAACUAAGGCCAAUUACUGAAGAAACUAAGGAAUCAAUUUGUCAAGAUCAUAGUGUCCUAAACACAGAAAAUAAAAUAAUUAUUGAUUCUGAAGGAGAUGAUCUGAAUAAUUCCCAUGAAAACUCUAACCAUACAACAUACUGUACAUUUUGGAGAGCUGCUAAAAGUAGUAGUAUUCUUAAACAGUGGAUGAGUGCAAAUGGUAAUAAGCCUUCACUUGUGUCUACCACUAUAAAUAUUAAAGAAUGUUUACCUCCUAUGUAUCACAACAUGAAAAAUAUGAUAAAGAUUAUCAAGGAACAAAAACGAAAAUUAUUUCAUUCACCAGUUUAUGAAAGUGAAUUGCAUUUAAAGAAGCUUUAUAUUCAAACAUGCAAAAGACUUCCUGCUUAUGGAUGUAAAAUGUUUCAAGUGAAAGAAUUCCUUAGAGGAAAAACUAAAAAAAAGGCAACCAGAUUAUUAGGCAUUGGAUUAGAAAGAAUAGUCUUGCUUGAUAAUAAAACAUUAUUGCCUGCUAAAAUGCAGAUGACUAGUGAACUUCAACAGUGGCGAACAGGUGGUGGUCGUUCUCAUGAUAGAUUAGUAUUAGAAUUUCGAGGCACAAAAUGGUCUUUUAUUACACCUUCUCAAAUAAUGCUGCGUUCUAUCAGUACUGUACUGUGGGAGAUAAUGCAAGAUAUUGAUACACGAUUUUUAGAUCAACAUCUUAUUGUUACAAGACAACAAUUAGAAUUAGAGAGCAGAAAAAGUCUUGUUCUGCAUCAUGGAAUGGAAGGAGCUACAAUAUACAAAGAUGAACUAGAACAAUUACAGGCCCUUCUUCACUUUCCAGAAGAGGUAGCCUUACAAUUAACAGAAACAGAAUAUGAAUUAUUUUAUAAAGUUGCACCAGUUCAUUACAUUAGACAAGUAACAGUGGAUCUUAGUCAUUACUCUAGAUCUUCCAGUGACUACAGCGUACAAAGUUUGAUUAAAAGAUUCAAUGAGGUGAGUUCCUGGGUAUCUCAUAUCAUUAUUUCUCAACCUACUCAUGAAGAUCGCAAAGCUGUAUUAUCUUGUAUAUUAAGAGUUGCAAUUUGUUGUUGGAAUCUUGGAAAUUUUAAUUCAGCAGUUGAAAUAUUAGCAGGUUUGAAAUCAGAAAAAUUAAAACCAUUCUGGCUAUCCAUAUCUGAUCAAUUAACUGUUCUAGAUAUGUUGACUGAUGCACUAUUAACUUCAGAACCUUCAUUAGAAUAUCAAGAAGCAGUUGAAAGAGCACUUGCUAUUCCACACAGUAAAGUUAUUCCAUUUUUUGGUACAUUUUUGAGAGAUUUGCAAGCUGUUUUACAUGGUAUGCCAAGUCUUAUUGUAUUGCCAGCAUACAAUACUCAAAAUCUAGAGUUUAUAUCAGAUUUUCAUGGUGAAGAUCACUUUAUGUCAAGAAUUGGAGUAGGAGGCAUCAUUAAUGUUGAAAAAAUUACCCAUGCUCACCAAAUAUUAGAUGAUAUACAAACAUUUCAUAUUCAUGCUCAGCAAAGACUUCAGACUAUGAUAGAGAUAGCAACAAAGGAGAUUAAUGACAAGAAUGGACUUAUUGAGCAAAAUGAUGAUUUUUAUGAAAUAGAUAUAGGUGCAUACAGACCCAUUCAACCACUGAGUUAUGAUCAUGGAGUUAGUUUUGUACCACUUACAGAAAAGUCUGUUGAUUUUCAUAAUCUUCAAUGUUUACAUCAUGGAACAACUGUGAUCCAUCUGGAAGAAGAAAGAACUCGUUCAGUUCUUUGUUAUCUAAAAUUAGAAAGAAGUAAUUCUUUAUUAACAUGGUGUAAACCAGCUUGGAGUUCUCUUAGACCAAGUGGAUCUCAAGAUUAUUCCCUUAAUUUACAUAUUGAAGAACCAGUAUCACCUGGUUUGCUUUUAAAGUAUGACAGUAAUGAAAUAGCAAUAAAUAACCUAGAAGAAGGUUUUAUUGAUUUGGGAUAUGUUAAAGAAAUUACACUUGGACAAAGCAAUAUUGAUAUAGGAGCUCUUUGUCGUCGACAUGGAUUAGAAGAAACUAUGCUUGAUCAAAACUGUAUUAAACUUUUAUAUGGAACUAAUCUUUCUGAUAAUAGGACAAUUGAAUUCUUUGCUCCCAAAUUAGUUGCACGAGUAUGGUAUGAAGGUUUACGUCAGUUAAUACAUCUUUUAAAAAGGCAAUAUCAGCUUUGUGAUAGAAGGAUUCAUUGGUUGAAAGAACAAUACCUGUAUUUAUAUUUUGAAGAACAAGCAUGCAUUGGUCCAACACCAGCUGAAGCAAUUAAGGUUUUUGGUGGACGUAAAUGGACUCUUGGUUCUUUGGGUAGCAGUUGUUCGUCUAUGGAUGUAUCUUUGCCUGGUUUUAAACGUGCUUCUAGUUUUGGUGUUGGAACAACUAAGUUAAGAAAGAAGAAAUCUACAACAUCACUUGCAGCAAUUAGAGAUGGUAGUCCAAAAUCACAAUUCAGUGCUUCGUCUGAACCUCAGUCAGAUGUAACUUUACGAAAACAAAGUCCUACUACAAAACAUCGUCGUUCUGGUGUUAAAUCUAGUCCUCAACUUCAUGGUGAUCAGGUAUUAGAAUGUGGUUCAACCAGUCCUCAGCAUGGCAGCAGUCCUCCUUCUGCUUCCUCAUGUGAAAAUAUUAUGAAGUUGUCAUUAGGGAGUCCAGUUAUGCAUUCAUGCUUAUCAACUAACCCUAGCAGAGAACGUCUUUGUCAAAGAGCAUCUACUGGAGCAAUUACUGGAACUAAUGGUGAUAGUCCUCCUCCUAUUCUUUGUCGUCCAGCCAUUACUCAUUCUAGUCAAAUGGAUUUUGUUGAAUUCACAGAAUUAUUUAGAUCUUUUUUAGUACGCUCUCGAAAAGAUUUGAAAGAUCUUUUUGAACAGAUUGCCUUAAAAACACAGGGAAAGUCUCAGAACGAAGAUGGAUCAUUGUAUAUUGAAACUACUAUUUCAUCAUCAUCUAAAAUGCUGGGUCUUCUUACAAGAAAUACUCCACUUGAUUAUUGUGAUAAUAAUCAGAGAAAAAAAAUCUGUGAUGCAAUUGCUGCAGCAAGUAUAGUAUCAAAUUGUGCAGGAGUGGAUACUUCAAAAACUUUAAUGUUAGGACUUCAAGAUUUUAAGCAUUUUUUGGCAACCUAUCAAGGCGAAGAUUUAUCAGAACAAGAUAUUGCUCAUAUUAUUCAAAAACACGAACCAGAUCCAGUUAUGCGAAGUCGUUUGUACUUAUCAUUUGAAGGAUUUGCUCGUUAUUUGAUGGAUAAAGACAGUUUUGCUUUUGUUCCAGAAAUAAUGCUUCCUAAUGAAAAUGAUAUGGAUCACCCAUUGAGUCAUUACUACAUUGCUUCUUCUCAUAAUACAUAUCUUACUGGACAUCAGUUGAAAGGAGAAUCAUCUGUGGAAUUGUAUAGUCAAGUAUUGCUAACAGGUUGUAGAUGUGUAGAAUUAGACUGUUGGGACGGUGAUGAUGGAUGGCCAGUAAUUUACCAUGGACAUACAUUAACUACAAAAAUAUCUUUUAGGAAUGUUGUUGAAGCAAUUAAUAAAAGUGCCUUUGUUACAUCUCCUUAUCCAGUAAUAUUGUCAAUUGAAAAUCAUUGCUCUAUACAACAGCAAGCAAAAAUGGCAAAAAUAUUUACAUCUGUAUUUGGAGAGAAAUUAGUUACUACUUUUCUUUUCGAAUCUGACUAUUCAGAUGAUCCUAUAUUACCAUCUCCUAACCAAUUGAAAUAUCGAAUUUUAAUAAAAAAUAAGAAACUGAGAACACCUCUCACACCUGCAUUACCAUUAAAAAAUAAAGCUGUCUCAGCUCCAAGUCGUACCAACAGUAUCAUAUCAACAACUAGUACUGGUUCUUUAAAUGAUGAUGAUGAUGAUGAUUAUGAUGACGACGAUGAUGACGAAGAAUUAUUAGAAGUUCGAACUGAAUCUAUAUCCAGUCAAGAAGGAUCUGGAUCUGGAAAAGAUAAAGCUUUGAGUCCUUGUACUGGAAUUUCUUCAAGGCCUCGUAGUCAGUUAGACAUGACAACUGAUGUUUGGCAUACAGAUGACGAAAUUGCAAAACCUCAAAAAUCAAGCAGUCAGAUUGCACCUGAACUGUCUGAAAUUGUAAUUUAUUGUCAAGCUAUUAAAUUUAGAGGAUUCAUUACUAGUUCAAGUCCCACCAAUUCUGUCAAAGCUAAGAAGACAGCAAAUAGAAAGAAUCUUCUUCCAGCAAGUAGUUCUGUUCCUACACCAUUAAGUCAACCUCUUCAAACAGAAACCAAACAUGAAACAUCUCCUGGAAAAAGACCAUGUUUAUCAUCUCCUUGUUAUCAAGUUUCAUCAUUAAAUGAAAACACUGCAAAAAAGUUAUGCAAAAGACAUCCUUUAGCUCUUAUUACUCAUUGUGAAACACAACUGAUGAGAACAUAUCCAGCAGGAAUGAGAAUUGAUUCUUCAAACUUUAAUCCUGUAAUAUUCUGGGCAUUUGGAUUACAGAUGGUGGCAUUAAAUUAUCAAACAGAAGAAUGGUCGAUGUGGCUAUGUCCUUAAACCCCGAGUUAUGUGGGAUCAUUCACUGAUGAUGCACGGCCGUUUCAACCCCUGGGACAAAGAAUUUGAUGGCUUACACUCUAUUAGUAUGACUAUCACGAUAAUAUCAGGACAGUAUGUAUGCCCAUCAACUCAUACAGGAAGUCCACAAGUUGAAAUGGAAAUUAUUGGCAUUCCAGUUGAUUGUAAUAGACAGAAAACAAAGUUGGUUCAAAGAAACUCAUUAAACCCUAUCUGG